CAAGAGCGUAUAUUAAAGUUGCUGCGGUUAAAAAGCUCGUAGUUGGAUUUCAGUCUAGGAAGGUUAACUCGCCGAAAGGUUGUACGUUGAUUUUCCUCAGACUUCGUCAGAAGCUCGUGCUGCACUUAACUGUGUGGUACGAUGUUCUGACCUUUUGCCUUGAGGAAAGUAGAGUGUUUCAGGCAGGCUACCCAGCUUGAAUACAUUAGCAUGGAAUAAUGAAAUGGAUCUCGGUUCGAUUUCGUUGGUUCUAGAGCUGAGGUGAUGAUCAAUAGGAACAGGCGAAGGUAUUCGUACUUGAGAGUGAGGAGUGAAAUCCGAUGAUCUCUUAAAGACGAUCCGAGGCGAAAGCAUUUGUCAAGGAUGUUUUCAUUGA
rnacentral:rRNA from 1 species